rnacentral:rRNA from 1 species
UACAGAGGUCCCGAGCGUUGUUCGGAUUCACUGGGCGUAAAGGGUGCGUAGGCGGGCAAUCAAGUCAGUGGUGAAAUCCCCCGGCCCAACCGGGGAACUGCCGCCGAUACUGAUUGUCUCGAGGGAGGUAGGGGUGUGUGGAACUUCCGGUGGAGCGGUGAAAUGCGUAGAGAUCGGAAGGAACGCCGGCGGCGAAAGCGACACACUGGAUCUCUUCUGACGCUGAGGCACGAAAGCCAGGGGAGCAAACGGG